ACUCGCCGCUGAGACACUUUGGGAAUGAGGAGGGGUGCGGCGCGGCUUCCUCGGGGCAGAGGGACUGGCGUAGGCAUUUUUGCCAGAGACGAUGGAAAGUUGUACAGCGAUCAUCACAAGAGGGACUCUUGAAGGAUGGUUCGCAGAAGGGAAAAGAAAGGUGUUCCAAAGAGAGGUACCAUCGUGAACACAGGACUCAGGAGGAGGAUACAUUUCAAAAUCUGAAUUCAUAUCCAAAGGGGACUCAGCUUCUUGCGGUUUGAGCCUCAGAGCUUCUCGAAAGUCAGCGGUCCUUACAGGAGACUGUCUUUGAUUUCACAAGAAGCCUCUAACAACCUGUUUUCAUUUAUUGGUGAGAAGAUAUUAUUUUGUUCCUUAAUUUCCCAAUCAGUAUGACUACCCACAGCAUCCUGCUCAUUUUGCCUUCUCUGAGCCUUCUUCCCAGGAAAGAGAAUAUCUGAUUGCUUGCUAAUCAAAACUUCUUUUUGAGCAGCUUGGCAUAAGCUGGAAAAGGAUAAGAGGCACCUUCCUGUCACCUUUUCUUCUUCCUCUCCUCCUCUCUUCUCCUCUUCCCUCCCCUUCCCCCCUCCGCAGCCUCCUCCUCUUCCUCCUUCCCCUGCUGUGACCUACACUGAGCUGUGGUAACACCAGAUCCUUUAACCCACUGUGCCAGGCUGGGGAUUGAACCCGUGCCCCUGCAACAACUGGAACCCUGAGCUUCUGCAGUCAGUGCCACAGUG
rnacentral:lncRNA from 9 species